GCAUCCUCUGAGCAGCUGGCUCGGAUUGAUGCUGCUGGAUGAUGUUGCAGUUUGUCCCACUCGCGGCAGGAGCAGCUGCUGGGAUGGAGCGCAAGCUGCCUGUUCCUACAAGGAUCGUAGAAGGAAGCACCCUUCGGAUGUCCUCCUCAAUACCUCCAGAUGACCUCCCUCCCUCAUUACUUCCAAGAUCUCUUAGGAUAUCACUUAUCGCGGUGGCACGUGCGUGAUUCCCGACAUUUUACAGUGUUUAUACCACCAGGAGACUCGCGAUGCAUCAGGCACUAAAGAAAACUCUCCCAAGGAUGGCCUGCUUCAUACAGCUGCAGUUGGAUGAAGAUCAUGAAUGUUUUCUUUCAAGAGAAUCUCUAUGAAACUUUUCCCUCCCCUGUUUCUCUACAAGAAUCUCUGAUGUGUCAUCAUAUGUAUGGGGCU